rnacentral:rRNA from 1 species
GACGAACGCUGGCGGCGUGCUUAACACAUGCAAGUCGAACGGAAAGGCCCUGCUUGCAGGGUACUCGAGUGGCGAACGGGUGAGUAACACGUGGGUGAUCUGCCCUGCACUUCGGGAUAAGCCUGGGAAACUGGGUCUAAUACCGGAUAGGGGCCAUUUUUAGUGUGAUGGUUGGAAAGUUUUUUCGGUGUAGGAUGAGCUCGCGGCCUAUCAGCUUGUUGGUGGGGUAAUGGCCUACCAAGGCGGCGACGGGUAGCCGGCCUGAGAGGGUGGACGGCCACAUUGGGACUGAGAUACGGCCCAGACUCCUACGGGAGGCAGCAGUGGGGAAUAUUGCACAAUGGGCGCAAGCCUGAUGCAGCGACGCCGCGUGGGGGAUGACGGCCUUCGGGUUGGAAACUCCUUUCGCUAGGGACGAAGCUUUUUGUGACGGUACCUAGAGAAGAAGCACCGGCUAACUACGUG